rnacentral:lncRNA from 1 species
UUCCUUACCUCAUUUCUUCAUUCAAAAAAAGUAAUGAUAAUGUUAUUUUAAGUUGUAAAGAUAAGCUAAGUCAUAACCAAUACUUUUUAAUACUUAAAUUAUUAAAUAUAUAAAAUUUACUCACUCAUAAAUGAAUAGUGUGGUUGAAGAUGGUGUAUAGAUAUUAUAAAACCAAAUAUUUUGUUUUCAAAAUUAAACUUUAAUAGAAUCGUAAGAUUUUCUACCACAAUUUUUGCCAUUCUUUUGUCUUACUUUUCAUAUUUAAACAUGAUAUUCACCUCCAAAUGUGCAAGACUAGGAGAACCUUAUGAUUAGUAUUAUAUUUUUUUAUCCUAGUUUCAAAGAUAAUAAUAGAAAGAUUACUCAGAAAGAUAAGACCUAAAAAGACCUAUUAUUUUAGAUUAGAUUAAUUAUAUUAAAUAUACUAGUGACAACAAAAUGUUAAACAUAUGGAAAAGAAAUUUUAUAUCAUGGGAACAUCUUCAAAGGAGUAUAUAAUAUGCAUAAAAAUAUGAAAUAGUUAUAACCUCUUCAGUGUCCCCUUGGUAAGAGAGUGCCAUGUAUUUAGGAAAGUUACCUCCUUUAUUUGAAAGAAAUCCAAUAAAAUUCUUUGGUUCUAAUAGAUAUAUUCUUAUAAUAAAUGAGUAUUUCUAUUAAGGUAUACUAAUACAUAUUUCUUUGUAAUAAGUGAGUAUUUCUAUGUAUUAAGUCGGUUCAUUACUUCAGUGCAUUAAAUGCAAGAGAGUUUAGGUGUUUAAGGGAAACACACAAAUACAUUUUAAAUAUAUACACUUCGGGAAAGGGUUGAUAACAAGUAAUAGCAGAAAGUAGUUUGGGAAUAAACAUGGUACUCAAUCAUGCAUAAUAUCGUGUACAGUUAUGCUAUGCUCAUUCUACUUUCUGAUUACCAUUCUGAUUAACACUUUCCGUAACUACUUUCUGUAUAUAAGACCACGCUGGGACUAAUGCUGGAAUCCAUGAAGACAGCCUAAAAAAAAAAGCAAUGGAGGAGAAAAGAAGAAAAACAAAGAGGGAAAGAAAGAGAGAGAAAGAAAGAGAAAGAAAGAGGGAAAGAGAUAAAGAAAAAGGAAGGAAGGGAGGAAGGAAGAAAGGAAGAAAGAAAGGAAGAAAGGAAGGAAGAAAGAAAGAAAGAGAAAGAAAAGAAAGGAAGAAGGGAAGGAAGGAAGGAAGAAAUGCUCGUGUAUUAUUUUUUACAUUAAUAAAUGUAGGUUGGUGACUACUUUAUUUAAUUUUUUUCAAUAAUUUUAAUUUAAAAUAUAAAAUUUUAUUCAUUUUCACAAGCAAUUAAAGGAGCAUCAUUUUACUCUUUACUGUUAUAAAAAUCAUAAGAGAAGAUUAUUUUCACAGAGUAUCUGAACAUUAUUAUUUCUUGUUUGAUGAAAGAUAAUACAUUAACUGAUAAAUCAGGAAGUGUCUUAUAUAAAUAUAACCCAGUUUAAGCACAGAAUUCUUAGCCAUUUUGAUUUGAUAUAAUAGGUACAAAUAAUUUAAAUAGAAAAGAUAUCAAUAGUUUAGUGUAAUUAAUAGAAAUCAUCUUUGAAAAAAAUUUGAAGGGCUAUUGUCAUUUGCAAAACUAUGAGAGAUGGAGUGCCAAGGAAAAUAAGCAACGGUAUUCAGGUUAUGAUAUUACAAAUACGAAUUUUCAAGAAGAUAUUAGAUUUGAAACCAAACGUGCCUGAGGAAGAAAUUAGUUUUUAAAUAAUUUUACCUUCCAUUUUAACCAUCAAAGACUUAAACUCUAAACUAGAUAGUGGUAGGAAGCCCUGGGCUGAUAGGAGGAAAUAAACAGACACUCAGAAUCCUGGGCACUAUAGAACAAAUAUCAGGAAAGGAAUCUGGCAUAUAUAUGUCCUGAUUCCUUCUCUCUGGAUUUGGCCUUCAGUAGUGGAUGUGGUCAGUUUAUUGGUAAGGAAGCUGAGGAUGAGGAGCUCCUGUCCACUUCUCCAUUUGGGACACUUGGAAAAGUCCACUGUACAAAGAAGCCUAUGCCUCCAUGAGGUGGAGGGUUAUGGUUGUGGUUAUGGUUAAGGGGCCAUAAGUAAAUAGAGUCUGGAAUGAUCUCCCAAGGUUUUCGCUUCCUAAGUGGCAAGAGCCUGCUAUGAUAGAGUGGAGUGACUCGACCAAGGAUCCAAUCAGAAGAGUGGCAAAGAGUCUGCAAAGCAGCAAGGGCUGAGUAAGCAGGGAGCUGUUGAUUCAGUAAGGAAAAAUUGCAUUUUGUGUUCAUCAGCCCCAGAUGUCCGCAGCAAAUGCCAGCAGAAAAUCCUGAGAAAGGACCAGGCCAACCAAAUACUGCAGCAGACAAGGAACACCCACUCUGCAAUGGUCUGAAAACCGGUAAGCAUCUGAUGGAUCCAAAGACUCUUCCCUUUUCCCUUGUAUGUUCAUAAAAGUCCUCAAUUGGCUCUAUCCCCAAAGUCAGCCUAACACCAUUUUUGUGACUAUCAAGUGCGUGGGAAGAAUGAAAAUAAAAGUCAAACAGUCAUUUUCCAAAGAGUAAGUAUUUUCUUAAAGGACUGUUAAAAUUAUUGGAUUGGGUAGUUUUAAACCAAUUUGGAGUAAAUGUAGCUUUUUAUUUCCACUAAUCAUAAGAGAAGCCAGAACUAUUGUAGACAAAAUAAAACAAAGAAAUUGAUUUUUCUUGUUUCUCUGCUCAUGUGAGCAACAGUGGCAUCUCUGUGACACCAAUACAAGUGAGCAUAACAAGCAUUGAUGUUGCAAAGGUUAAAGAUUUAUGAAUUAGAAAACGGAACUACGAGGUAAUAAUUUUCAAUUUCUUUGCAUUUUACAUACAUAAAUUUUUUUUAACAACACAGUUAUUAUUUUACAGCUGAGGCUAAUAAAGUUUAAGUGACGUACUUAGUCUUGAGCUUUAAAAUACUAACCUUGGCAUUCUUCGUAUAAAUUCUUCUGCUAGAUUAUGUGGUACCAAUCAAUAACUUCAUUUAUAUUCAUAUUUGAAUUAUAAUAACAUUAUUUAGGUAUGUGUACAUGUAUAAUUUAAGAUACAGGUUUAGUUAUGUUAUAUUUUUCUAUAAUAAAGUUUAUGGUUAAAAUCAAGAAUCUCUGCCUAUUAUUUGGUUCAGAAUAAGUAGUUGAGUACAGACAUGAGAAAUUGAUAUUGUAAUCAUUGGAAAAAGAGGAAUGUAAUUAUUUUAAUUCAAAAGGACUAUAAAGCUAACUUUUAUAAAAUUAUAUAAAAACAAAAAAAUGUACUUAUAUCUUUCCAAAAUUUGGAACAUAAUCAUAUGGGAAGAAGGAUGAACUGAAUUUAUCUGGAAGGUCUUCAAUUCCCUGCAAUAUUAGGAAGAUAACUCAUAAGCACACCAAAACUGUAAUAGUGCAAAUUUAAUACCCAGACUGCGUGGUGAAAAUAAAAACAAUCCCUAUUGAUUUCUUUAAAAUUUUAUUGGAGUAUAGUUUAUUUACAACAUUGUGUUAAUUUCUAGUGUACAGAAAAAUGAUUCAGUUGUACAUAUACAUGUAUCUAUACUUUUUCAAAUACUUUUCCCAUAUAGGUUAUUACAGAAUAUUGAUUAGAGUUCCCUAUGCUCUACAGUAGUUCCUUGUUGAUUAUCUCCUCUCUAUAUAGUAGUGAGUAUAUGUUAAUCUCAAACUCCUAAUAUAUCCCUUCCACCCACAUUCAUGUCCUCUUUUGUAACCAUAAAUUUGUUUUUGAAAUCUGUAAAUCUGUUUUUCUUUUGUAAAUAAGUUUAUUUGUAUCAUUUGAAAAUUAGAUUUCACAUGUAAGUGAUAUCACAUGAUAUUUCCCUUUGUCUAACUUACUUCACUUAGUUUGAUAAUCUCUAGGUCCACCCAUGUUGCUGAAAACGGUAUUUUUUGUUCUUUAUUAUGGCUGAGUAACAUUCCAUUGUACCACAUGUACCACUUCUUCUUUAUCCAUUUUCCUGUCAAUUGCCAUUGAGGUUGCUUCCAUGUCUUGGCUAUUGUAACUCAUAAAAUGACUCUUGAAAUAUUAUUCAUUCAUUUAAUCCUAUCUUACCACUAAAAGACUUCCUAAGUGGACAUGACAGCACAUCCCAAAGUUUCUACUAUUGUGAGGGAGCUCCUAUUUUGUAGUAUAAUUACUUUGCUAUAUUAUUGAUUAUCUCACAACUUAACACAUGUCUGUGAUAAAUAUGCCUUUAAGAUAGUAGGCAUUCAAUAAAAGUAUUUUAUAACAAUAAUGGUAACAAGUAUAACUGGCAUACAUAGGUUUAGAGCAAGUACUAAUUAUUCUUAAGUAUUUAAAUUCAUGGAAGUAGAAUAUCUAGGCAGAUUUUAAACUGGCCACAGCAUUCAAAGUGAUCUGGGUGUUUGUCAGUGCGUCUCUGAAAAAAGUGAAUAAUAUCUGUUAAAAGAGUGUAGAUUUUAUAUUUCACCUGUAUAUUUUAUACUAGUUUUAAUUGAAUUCAGUGUUUAAUAUAAUUAAGUCCCAUUUGUUUAUUUUUGGUUUUUAUUAUCUUCAUUACUCAAGAAAGAUUUUUUCAGAGUUCCCAUUGUGGCUCAGUGGGUUAAGAACCAACUAGUAUCCAUGAGGAUGCAGAUUCAAUCCCUCGCCUCACCUCCUGGGUGAAGGAUCCAGUGUUGCUGAAAGCUGUGUCAUGGGUCACAGAUGAGGCUCAGGUCUGGGUUGCUGUGGCUGUGGUAUAGGCUGGCAGCAGCUCCAUUUCAACCCCUAGCCUGGGAACUUCCAUAUGCCAUGG